GACGAACGCUGGCGGCGUGCCUAAUACACGCAAGUCGAACGAACUCUGGUAUUGAUUGGUGCUUGCAUCAUGAUUUACAUUUGAGUGAGUGGCGAACUGGUGAGUAACACGUGGGAAACCUGCCCAGAAGCGGGGGAUAACACCUGGAAACAGAUGCUAAUACCGCAUAACAACUUGGACCGCAUGGUCCGAGUUUGAAAGAUGGCUUCGGCUAUCACUUUUGGAUGGUCCCGCGGCGUAUUAGCUAGAUGGUGGGGUAACGGCUCACCAUGGCAAUGAUACGUAGCCGACCUGAGAGGGUAAUCGGCCACAUUGGGACUGAGACACGGCCCAAACUCCUACGGGAGGCAGCAGUAGGGAAUCUUCCACAAUGGACGAAAGUCUGAUGGAGCAACGCCGCGUGAGUGAAGAAGGGUUUCGGCUCGUAAAACUCUGUUGUUAAAGAAGAACAUAUCUGAGAGUAACUGUUCAGGUAUUGACGGUAUUUAACCAGAAAGCCACGGCUAACUACGUGCCAGCAGCCGCGGUAAUACGUAGGUGGCAAGCGUUGUCCGGAUUUAUUGGGCGUAAAGCGAGCGCAGGCGGUUUUUUAAGUCUGAUGUGAAAGCCUUCGGCUCAACCGAAGAAGUGCAUCGGAAACUGGGAAACUUGAGUGCAGAAGAGGACAGUGGAACUCCAUGUGUAGCGGUGAAAUGCGUAGAUAUAUGGAAGAACACCAGUGGCGAAGGCGGCUGUCUGGUCUGUAACUGACGCUGAGGCUCGAAAGUAUGGGUAGCAAACAGGAUUAGAUACCCUGGUAGUCCAUACCGUAAACGAUGAAUGCUAAGUGUUGGAGGGUUUCCGCCCUUCAGUGCUGCAGCUAACGCAUUAAGCAUUCCGCCUGGGGAGUACGGCCGCAAGGCUGAAACUCAAAGGAAUUGACGGGGGCCCGCACAAGCGGUGGAGCAUGUGGUUUAAUUCGAAGCUACGCGAAGAACCUUACCAGGUCUUGACAUACUAUGCAAAUCUAAGAGGUUAGACGUUCCCUUCGGGGACAUGGAUACAGGUGGUGCAUGGUUGUCGUCAGCUCGUGUCGUGAGAUGUUGGGUUAAGUCCCGCAACGAGCGCAACCCUUAUUAUCAGUUGCCAGCAUUAAGUUGGGCACUCUGGUGAGACUGCCGGUGACAAACCGGAGGAAGGUGGGGAUGACGUCAAAUCAUCAUGCCCCUUAUGACCUGGGCUACACACGUGCUACAAUGGAUGGUACAACGAGUUGCGAACUCGCGAGAGUAAGCUAAUCUCUUAAAGCCAUUCUCAGUUCGGAUUGUAGGCUGCAACUCGCCUACAUGAAGUCGGAAUCGCUAGUAAUCGCGGAUCAGCAUGCCGCGGUGAAUACGUUCCCGGGCCUUGUACACACCGCCCGUCACACCAUGAGAGUUUGUAACACCCAAAGUCGGUGGGGUAACCUUUUAGGAACCAGCCGCCUAAGGUGGGACAGAUGAUUAGGGUG
rnacentral:rRNA from 1 species